ensembl:lncRNA
CCGGAAGGGAGUUGGCCAGGGAGGGGAGGCUGGGGUGGCGAAGUUUCUCCUGAAGAGAGUCUGCAGCGGGGAGGGAGGGGCAGGUUCCAGAAAACCCCAGAUGGACCACAGACGAUGGAAUGCGUGAGAUAGUGAGCGAACGCUCCCACAGCGGUUCUUCUCGCCAGGAAUGACGCUCCGGAUAGGGGAGAUGGGAAGGCCAGGCAGGCAGGCUGCGCAGAACUGGGCGAUGGCUGCAGUGGGGACCAUGACAGCUGGGAGGUUCUACAAACCUACAGCAGCGAUGGAGCCAGACCUUAGGACAUGGCGGGGAUCGGUCAGACGCCUCCCAGGUGCUCGGACGACAGGCGUGCCUGCACCCAGCUUCCUCCUCUUCCUAUGAGCACUGUCGUUGGAUCUAGAGCUGCCCUGCCCAUCUCGACCUACUACCUCGGCAUGACCUGUGCUCAGCUGAAGUCACGUUCGAGGUUCCAGGGGACUUGCGCUUUGGGAGGACGCUGUUCAGCCCACUAAGCCGUCAGACAGGGGUCUCCAAGGACGAAGGGCCCUGUGGAGAACGGACGCGCGGUGCCAGAUCGCUGUAGGAGCCACCACGCCAGGGCCAUUUGAACUCAGUGCACGUGGCAGGGCUGUCAGCUCGUCCCCCUGACGCAGUCGGCAGGGGACAGGAGCGCACCACCUUUCCGGAGCCCUGCCAGGCGCAGGAUGCUUGCUGUGCUUUCCCACUAGAACCCAGCACAGCGGCUGGUCGUAGAUGCUGAGUCAGGGUUUGGUGAAUGAAUAAACGAGCACCAAGCAGUCUGCUAAGAAGAUGCAAAUAUUCUCUGUCCAAGGGGCGAUCCCCACCCAGCCCACCCACCUCACCCCUGCCGCUCUGCUGAAGAGGGGAUGAGAUAACUCAGAAGGGAGCUUCCCUGCCAGCGAGGAGAUCGAGGUCUUCCCCUGGAAGGGGUCUUCCACAAGGUCAGACCAGGCAGACACCAGGGCUGGGUGAGGUCAGCGGCGGCGUCUCCUCCCCUCCUGCAGCCACUGUUCGAGGAUCGCGGAGCAGCGGGGGCUCCGGAGGCUGCGGAGGAGGACGGCUCGCUGGGCGCGGUUGCCCGCACCUACCGGCAGCCUUGCCUGCAUUAGUUUCCAUGGUAAUUUCGCGUACUGCACAUCUGUACAUGCACCUUUACCCUGAUUGAUGAAUAAUAAAAUUCGGUGGAAGAGACGGGACGGUGACUUUUGCCGAAGGAGCAUUGACCGUCGCAGUUCACACUUUCUCUUUAACGCUGUCUUAAGUGUCACGCAAUGGGCAGGUGCGGACUAGAGACUUACUGCAGGAGUCUCUGGGAUUGGCGCCCAACGGUGGGGGCUUGACCCACAAGCAACCACCUGCUCAGUGAAGCUACUCAGAAUAAAAAAGAAUAAAAGGAAAUCAGCGACCAAGGGGCAAGAGUCAUCAAAGGACGUACACAGGAGCAUAAACUCGAAAAAGAGAAAGAGCUGGAGCCCUAAGAAGUCUUCACGUUCCUCUACUUCCCGCCCGGACCUUUUGGUUUUGCAAAACUUUGCUUAUGUGGGUGCUGCUUGGGAUGUACUUCCUAAUAAAGGAACUGGGCAGUCUGUUCAUCCCCAGUGUAGGUCUGGAUCUUUCUGAUUGCAUCCAUUUGUAGUUGUCUUUCUGUGAUUUCUAGCAGAGGACGCUUGCAGCUAGAAUGAAUACAGCAUCUGUUCUCUUAUACUUCGUGUGUAUCCAGGCACUGAAUAAAUAA